CCCGAAUAAGGUGGUGCGGGAACACCACCCCCGCCGUUGCCCUGGCUAGGAACCUGUUAAAAAACCCGUCCGACCGGGAUCACCCGACAGGCGAAGAUUAGUCGACCGAGCAGAGACUGAAGCACCCGGAGCGUAACCUUCUUAGCUCCCCGCACCUCCGCCACCGCCUGCCGGAGUGCCAGUGACUUGUCCUGUGGCAGCCUGCACUCCCCCUUUACCGAGUCGAUCUCCAAGCC